rnacentral:lncRNA from 1 species
CAGUGUAUUUAGGAUUUACUUAAUACAGCUUUGUUCAUCAUUCAUAAUUAAAACCUGCGUUGCCGACACACAAUCUAAGCUAAUUAAUAUAAUAUUUGCUUAUUUAAAUAAAGCUUGUAAAUUACUUGUGGUUGUGUGCUUUUCUAUCUCUUCUACUUUUGAGCACAAUCAUGCCUAAUAAGUGCUGUGUUCCUAAGUGCUCCUCCGGAUAUUAUGGAAAACCAGCCAUUGCAAGUUUAUGGCUCCAUUCUUUUCCACUGGAUGAAUCCUCAAAAGGUGCCUGGCUUAGAGCCAUUCCAUGGGACAGCAAUGGGACUUAGGCACCUUGUAAGUAUUCAAGGGUCUGAUCUCUCCAUUUUCACGAGGAUGACUUUGUAUAUGAGAGCGCAGACCACAAGAGGAAACAUCAAUCUUCUUAUGGAGUUGAAGAUAAUAAGCUUCAAAAACGUAAUAAGUGCCUAGUAAAUAUUUAUCAUCCGUCAAAAGUCAGCGGCCUACAUCGAGAGCUACCACAUCAGCCAGGAUUUCUAAGGAAAAUGAAGCUAUCGUUGAAGCUCAACGAUCAUUAUUCCUUAAAGAUUCUGUUAUUGACUUAAGUGAUUUGUGCCUCAAGUGUGGAGAUGAAAAAUUCCCAACGAAUGUUUAUUUGAGGAGGGCGGAGGUUUCAAUUCAGUUUUGCUGUCUAUCUGAACUGUGUUUUGAUUUUGUCGAAAUCGAAUUCUCAGUGAUGUUAAAUAGUGAUUUGACAUUCAAUUUAUACCACAAGAACGUCAACCUAGAUCGGAGCUGCGUGAAUCACCUCACAACGUUUAGAGAAAAAUCACCUCGCUAAUCCUUCUCCAGAAAAUCCUUGCUCAUAUGAAGAGUAUUCCUUUUCCUCCAAUGAAAGAUAUGAUUAAUCACUUAAUCAAUGAAGUUGAGAGUAUCGUUCGUAAACGGAAAAAGUUGAUUUUCAUUAGAGAGCAACUUGCUUUGAUAAACUCUACACUGAAACAGAAGAUCUGAGUGACAUAAAAAAUAUUCAUUCUGACUCUGAUAAAAAGCAAGAUUUAAACCAGGAAGAAAAGAUUUAUAUUUAUAAAAUUUUGUCGACUUUACAAUCCACAGAGUUUAGUUUUGAAUUAGAGGAUGACGAAAAAUCGAUUUUAUUCUUUGUUUCAGGCUAUAUAGCCAAAUCUCAAUCCUUAAAGUUAAAAUAUAAUUUAUGCGAAGCCAAACUCGUCGUCUCAAAAAGUUUUCCUCAAGUUAGUUUGAACAAAUCAAUUUAGGAGUGUUCGAAAACCAAGCUCCUAGAUCAAAUUAAUAGAGGAGAACUGGUCACUCCAAGCGAUGGCUUAUUUUCGAUUGUCACACAAAUUUAUUGUUUAUAUGACUUUAUUAUGGUAAGUGAAAAUGCAAAAUCUUUUUUUUUUUUUUUUCAAUGCAACAAUUUAAGAAAGGUAUUUACAAAAAGAUGUUGUGAGAUGAUAGAUUACGAACUAAUUAUACUUAAUCAAAAUUGUUCUAAUGGUCAUAUUUUUAAAUCUAAAGAUUUAUUUUAUAGCAUUUGUUGCCAAGUUUUCAAUAUUAUGACCAAGAAUUUCUUUAAAAAAAUUAAUGAUAAAAUUAAUUUGAAAAGGUUGCAUGGCAAUGUAAAAUCUUGUAAACAGAAUAAAAAAAUUGUUAAACUUACUUCCUAAUAAUAUAUAUGUAUGUUGUGGCUUGUUGUUAUAUUAUGAUAGUUGUCAAUAAAUCCUUAAUUUAUUUAAAAUAAUAAAUAAUAGUUGUUAAAAUUUUA